rnacentral:rRNA from 1 species
AACGAACGCUGGCGGCAGGCUUAACACAUGCAAGUCGAGCGCCCCGCAAGGGGAGCGGCAGACGGGUGAGUAACGCAUGGGAACGUACCUUUUGGUUCGGAACAACUCCGGGAAACUGGAGCUAAUACCGGAUAAGCCCUAACGGGGAAAGAUUUAUCGCCGAAAGAUCGGCCCGCGUCUGAUUAGCUAGUUGGUGAGGUAACGGCUCACCAAGGCGACGAUCAGUAGCUGGUCUGAGAGGAUGAUCAGCCACACUGGGACUGAGACACGGCCCAGACUCCUACGGGAGGCAGCAGUGGGGAAUAUUGGACAAUGGGCGCAAGCCUGAUCCAGCCAUGCCGCGUGAGUGAUGAAGGCCUUAGGGUUGUAAAGCUCUUUUGUCCGGGAAGAUAAUGACUGUACCGGAAGAAUAAGCCCCGGCUAACUUCGUG